GUGGGGAAUAUUGGACAAUGGGCGAAAGCCUGAUCCAGCCAUGCCGCGUGUGUGAAGAAGGUCUUCGGAUUGUAAAGCACUUUAAGUUGGGAGGAAGGGCAGUAAGUUAAUACCUUGCUGUUUUGACGUUACCGACAGAAUAAGCACCGGCUAACUUCGUGCCAGCAGCCGCGGUAAUACGGAGGGUGCAAACGUUGUUCGGAAUCAUUGGGCGUAAAGCGCACGCAGGCGGUUUAUCAGGUCGGAUGUGAAAUGCCGGGGCUCAACCCCGGAACUGCGUUCGAAACCGGUAAGCUGGAGUCACGGAGGGAGAAGGGGAAUUCCUGGUGUAGGGGUGAAAUCCGUAGAGAUCAGGAGGAACACCGGCGGCGAAAGCGCCUUCUUGGACGAUGACUGACGCUGAGGUGCGAAAGCGUGGGGAGCAAACAGGAUUAGAUACCCGGGUAGUCC
rnacentral:rRNA from 1 species